CCAACACCAACCGCCUUGCCCCGAUUAGCUCUUGGAGAUGCGGACGACAGGAUGUGCUCCAGCGCCGCCGCCUACGAGCGCCUCCCAGACGAUGAGUCGACAACGAAGCUCGGGGACGUGAUAUGGCGCUCGGUGUAGGUGGCCAUGGUGGACCUGAAGAAGCUGGCUGAGAUAAGCGAUGGGUGAGCUGCUUCUCAAAUGUCCCAUAGCAUACCGGCUGCAGCACCCCGAGCUCCUCAUUAUCUGCUCCAUGAUCAAGAUCCAUCGCCACCGACAGCCACGCACUUGGAUGCAAGGCUUGCCCGGACGACUCUGAACCGAAACCAAUCCUAGACUGGGAGUCGUAUGCAUCGUCCAUUUGUGCAUAUCCAACCAAAGCACUUAAUUCACAGUCCGCAAAAUAAUCUAUGUAACGCAAGGCAAAUCUAGCUUAGAAAUCUACACGGAACUUCCACUGCGCUCUGCUAAAUCAACUUACCUACUCCUUUAACCUUUUCAUGGUUCCUUAUUCAUUUUGGCAGUUCCCCAGUCCAAACGAGCACUCAUCUUUCAUGGGUGAUUUCUCUACCGCAACUGGACUUGCAACUUUCAUGAUGAUGCUGUUAGGCUGGAUUACAUUCCAAAGAUUUGGUUGGGGGGUGGCUUCCAUUAUCACCCCCAUAGUUUUGUGGUGACUGGCGUUGGUUUCUUUUCUGACUUUCAACAAGUGCAGUUCAUUGCCGCAGAGCAGUCUUAGAAGAUCCGUGCACAUGUAGCCUUAUUUCUUAUUCCAAAUUUCAUCAUACAAAAAAAAAAUACUCAGUGUAACCUCAUUUCUGAUGUUUGCGAAAAUUAGAUUAUAAAAAUGUUGCAUAAUGGCACAUGA